rnacentral:rRNA from 1 species
UACGUAGGGGGCAAGCGUUGUCCGGAAUCAUUGGGCGUAAAGCGCGUGUAGGCGGCCCGGUAAGUCCGCUGUGAAAGUCGGGGGCUCAACCCUCGAAUGCCGGUGGAUACUGUCGGGCUAGAGUGCGGGAGAGGCGAGUGGAAUUCCUGGUGUAGCGGUGAAAUGCGCAGAUAUCAGGAGGAACACCAAUUGCGAAGGCAGCUCGCUGGAACGUAACUGACGCUGAGGAGCGAAAGCGUGGGGAGCGAACAGG